GGUCUUCUUGUUCGCUUUUGAAAUAUCUAUAGACUAUGUCACUAUAGAAUUGAGUCAAUGACCUUAAAAGUCGUUAAAUUGAUAAUUAUGGUUUUGUAAUUUCCUAGUAACUGACUUUUCUUCGUUUACUCCAAAAAAAUAAUAUCCUCAACCAUUUGUGUGUGUGUGUACGAGAAUAGACAAAAUUUCAAUGUUGCUGGCGACAUACUAAAUGUUAUAUGCAAGAGAAUGCUUCACCGAUGAAU